rnacentral:rRNA from 1 species
GUUUGCCUUGAUACCAGGCAAAACCGCCCGAAGAAGGGUCUGCGUCGGAUUAGGUUGAUGUUAGGGUAAUGGCCUAACAUGCCGACAAUCCGUAUCGGCUAUGAAAGUAGGAGCCGGGAGAUGGAUACUGAGAUAAAGAUCCAGGUUCUACGGAACGCAGCAGGCGCGAAAACUCCGCAAUGCGCGAAAGCGUGACGGGGGGACUCCAAGUGUCCCGGUACAACCGGGACUUUUGUGGUAUUUAAAACGUACUACGAAUAAGGAUUGGUCAAGACUAGUGCCAGCCUCCGCGGUAAAACUAGCAGUUCGAGUGGUAGCCACGAUUAUUGGGCUUAAAGCGUCCGUAGCCGGUCUAGUAAGUUCUCUGUGAAAUCCUUGGGCUUAACUCAAGGGCUUGCAGAGAAUACUGUUAGGCUAGGAGUUGGGAGAAGUUGAGGGAACUACUGGGGUAGCGGCGAAAUGCUAUAAUCCUAGUAGGACCACCAAUGGCGAAGGCACUCAACUAGAACAAGCUCGACGGUAAGGGACGAGAGCUAGGGGAGCAAACCGGAUUAGAUACCCGGGUAGUCCUAGCCGUAAACGAUGUGGACUGAGUGUUUCCCGAACUUCGGGUUCGGGAUGUGCUGAAGGGAAACCGUUAAGUCCACCGCCUGGGGAGUACGGUCGCAAGUCUGAAACUUAAAGGAAUUGGCGGGGGAGCACCACAAGGGGUGGAGUCUGCGGUUCAAUUGGAUACAACGCCGGGAAACUUACCAGGGACGACGGCACUAUGAAGGCCAGUCUAAAGGGCUUGCCGAAGGAGCCGAGAGGUAGUGCAUGGCCGUCGCCAGCUCGUACCGUGAGGCGUGCGGUUAAGUCCGUUAACGAGCGAGACCUGUGCCUCUAUUUGCGAACCCGUAAAGGGAGCACUAUAGAGGGACCGCCUCUGAUGAAGAGGAGGAAGGCGCAGUCGACGAUAGGUCAGUAUGCUCCGAAUUUCCUGGGCUACACGUGGACUACAAUGGCAUGAACAAUGGGUUGCAACUUCGAAAGGAGGAGCUAAUCUCCAAAUCAUGUCUUAGUUCAGAUUGAGGGUUGAAACUCACCCUCAUGAAGAUGAAAUCCCUAGUAGUCGCUGGUUACUAUCCAGCGGUGAAUAUGUCCACGCUCCUUGCACACACCGCCCGUCAAACCAAUUGAGUGAGCUUAGGCUGAGGCUUUCUCAUCAGGGAAAGUCGAAUUCUAGGUUCGCAAGAGGGGUUAAGUCGUAACAAGGUA